GACGAACGCUGGCGGCGUGCUUAACACAUGCAAGUCGAACGGAAAGGCCCUGCUUUUGUGGGGUGCUCGAGUGGCGAACGGGUGAGUAACACGUGAGUAACCUGCCCUUGACUUUGGGAUAACUUCAGGAAACUGGGGCUAAUACCGGAUAGGAGCUCCUGCUGCAUGGUGGGGGUUGGAAAGUUUCGGCGGUUGGGGAUGGACUCGCGGCUUAUCAGCUUGUUGGUGGGGUAGUGGCUUACCAAGGCUUUGACGGGUAGCCGGCCUGAGAGGGUGACCGGCCACAUUGGGACUGAGAUACGGCCCAGACUCCUACGGGAGGCAGCAGUGGGGAAUAUUGCACAAUGGGCGGAAGCCUGAUGCAGCAACGCCGCGUGCGGGAUGACGGCCUUCGGGUUGUAAACCGCUUUCGCCUGUGACGAAGCGUGAGUGACGGUAAUGGGUAAAGAAGCACCGGCUAACUACGUGCCAGCAGCCGCGGUGAUACGUAGGGUGCGAGCGUUGUCCGGAUUUAUUGGGCGUAAAGGGCUCGUAGGUGGUUGAUCGCGUCGGAAGUGUAAUCUUGGGGCUUAACCCUGAGCGUGCUUUCGAUACGGGUUGACUUGAGGAAGGUAGGGGAGAAUGGAAUUCCUGGUGGAGCGGUGGAAUGCGCAGAUAUCAGGAGGAACACCAGUGGCGAAGGCGGUUCUCUGGGCCUUUCCUGACGCUGAGGAGCGAAAGCGUGGGGAGCGAACAGGCUUAGAUACCCUGGUAGUCCACGCUGUAAACGGUGGGUACUAGGUGUGGGGUCCAUUCCACGGGUUCCGUGCCGUAGCUAACGCUUUAAGUACCCCGCCUGGGGAGUACGGCCGCAAGGCUAAAACUCAAAGGAAUUGACGGGGCCCCGCACAAGCGGCGGAGCAUGCGGAUUAAUUCGAUGCAACGCGUAGAACCUUACCUGGGUUUGACAUGGAUCGGGAGUGCUCAGAGAUGGGUGUGCCUCUUUUGGGGUCGGUUCACAGGUGGUGCAUGCCUGUCGUCAGCUCGUGUCGUGAGAUGUUGGGUUAAGUCCCGCAACGAGCGCAACCCUUGUUCACUGUUGCCAGCACGUUAUGGUGGGGACUCAGUGGAGACCGCCGGGGUCAACUCGGAGGAAGGUGGGGAUGACGUCAAGUCCUCAUGCCCCUUAUGUCCAGGGCUUCACGCAUGCUACAAUGGCUGGUACAGAGAGUGGCGAGCCUGUGAGGGUGAGCGAAUCCCGGAAAGCCGGUCUCAGUUCGGAUUGGGGUCUGCAACUCGACCUCAUGAAGUCGGAGUCGCUAGUAAUCGCAGAUCAGCAACGCUGCGGUGAAUACGUUCCCGGGGCC
rnacentral:rRNA from 1 species